UACGAAGGGGGCUAGCGUUGCUCGGAAUCACUGGGCGUAAAACGCACGUAGGCGGGUCUUUAAGUCAGGGGUGAAAUCCCGGGGCUCAACCCCGGAACUGCCUUUGAUACUGGCAUUCUCGAGUCCGGAAGAGGUGAGUGGAAUUCCGAGUGUAGAGGUGAAAUUCGUAGAUAUUCGGAGGAACAUCUGUGGCGAAGGCGACUGCCUGGACCAGCACUGACACUGAGGCACGAAAGCGUGGGGAGCAAACAGG
rnacentral:rRNA from 1 species